rnacentral:rRNA from 1 species
AUUGAACGCUGGCGGCAUGCCUUACACAUGCAAGUCGAACGGUAACAGGUCUUCGGAUGCUGACGAGUGGCGAACGGGUGAGUAAUACAUCGGAACGUGCCUAGUAGUGGGGGAUAACUACUCGAAAGAGUGGCUAAUACCGCAUGAGAUCUACGAAUGAAAGCAGGGGAUCGCAAGACCUUGUGCUACUAGAGCGGCCGAUGGCAGAUUAGGUCGUUGGUGGGAUAAAAGCUUACCAAGCCGACGAUCUGUAGCUGGUCUGAGCGGACGAUCAGCCACACUGGGACUGAGACACGGCCCAGACUCCUACGGGAGGCAGCAGUGGGGAAUUUUGGACAAUGGGCGCAAGCCUGAUCCAGCAAUGCCGCGUGCAGGAUGAAGGCCUUCGGGUUGUAAACUGCUUUUGUACGGAACGAAAAGCCCUGGGUUAAUACCCUGGGGUCAUGACGGUACCGUAAGAAUAAGCACCGGCUAACUACGUGCCAGCAGCCGCCGUAA